AAAUUGAAGAGUUUGAUCAUGGCUCAGAUUGAACGCUGGCGGCAGGCCUAACACAUGCAAGUCGAGCGGAAACGAGUUAUCUGAACCUUCGGGGAACGAUAACGGCGUCGAGCGGCGGACGGGUGAGUAAUGCCUAGGAAAUUGCCCUGAUGUGGGGGAUAACCAUUGGAAACGAUGGCUAAUACCGCAUGAUGCCUACGGGCCAAAGAGGGGGA
rnacentral:rRNA from 1 species